GAAUCAAUGCCACGUAGAAUUAAGGCAGUUCUGAAGGUGAAAGGGGGUCAAACACCGUAUUACUAUGGUGUUCCUAAUAAUCCUUUAGGUGAGUGUAUAUUCAAAUGUAGGCUAAUGUCAUUUGCCUUCAACCGGACUAAUACUAAAGAAGUUGUUUGAAAAAUAGUAUGUUUCAUUUUAUUGAGAUACUGUUCCUUUAUGAAGCAGAAUCACUGCAUACGGUCUGAUGUGAUUUGGUUUCACCUGAAAGGAUGAGUAGAUUAUGAGCCCAUUAAGGAGUUACUGGUCGUAAACAACCUACAAGAUGUUCAAAACUGACAUACUGUAUAUUAGGUUAUGAGUUUGCCAAAUUAUUCACAUAAUAAUUAUCACUAAAGCAGGCCUGCUGUUCAUGACAAAACAAGCAUUAUACUGAGCAAAAUCGACGUACGAUUUUCAGGCAAAAUACGCGUCUAAUAUCAGCGCAUUCUCGGCCGAGCCAUGUGUCUGACAGCAGGUCCUAUCGCACGCACACACGUAAGCCCCGUUUCCGGGGGUAACAGUGUUUUUUUACGCAUUCCUCUAUGACCUGUUCGUGUAACAUUACCAAUCACCAGUAUUAUUAGAUUUUAGUACAAGCACGUUGCAUGCCUUUUGGUUUACUGACACUGAUGAGAUUUACUCCUUACUUAUCAAAAUAUGGUACCAAAUGACAAGGCAUUUUUGAUACUUGAUUGUAUCUAAGCUAUUCAGUUGGUGCCAUAAAAGCAUCAAAAAGUUUGCUACCCAGGCCUAGUGUUCUCCCUGUUAUAUACUAAUUUCUAAUCCUGUCUAUCACCACAAGGUCGUAGCCUGGGUUUGAAAAAUAGGCCCAAUCCCAAUGUCCACAUUCAGACCCACAGACUUUGUGACAUGUUCCCGCUAAGUCCUUGAGGGCUUAGGGCUGUCCCACUAUCAAACUGUCAAGUGCACAAGGGCUCUCUCGCAGACUUUUUGAGCUCUUUAUAUACAAUUUUGCCAGGGGAGUCUGAAACAUAAACUGUGAGCAAUCCAUUUCUUUUAGUUAGUGCUUAAUGACGCUGUUUUGACAAAAAGGAGUAAAGUGAUUAUUUCACAAUUACCUCUCAUCCACGCUGUAAGACAAGAGCUUAAAACGCGUUCAAAUUAGGCAGUCAGUUCCUUUAAUGUCUUGCCUGUGCAAAUCUUAAAGUAAAAAGUCCCGAACACACAGUAGUAAGGAGCCUGUUUUGGCAUUGUCAUGGUAACGUGAUACAUUGCAAUGUGCUGUCCCAUUCCUGUUUAGAUUAAUUCAAACCCUUUCAGCCUCUUGCACUGAAUCAACUGAUCAAUGUCAACUAAAUCUGUGAGAGGGACAUUGGUUCUGUGCCAUAGUGGCGUCUGGGGGGGGGGGAUAGGUUGGUAUAGGUUUAGACCAUAUAAUACAUAUUACACAAACAUUCUGCGGUUAUAGGUGCAGUCACACCUUCCCUGCUGUGACUUUAAACUGUUGAACUGGAACACUCUGUGUGGUGUGUGUGUGUGUACUCCAGGGGACACUGUAAGGUGGGGGGUGAGUACGAUUAUUCCCAGGGCCCCCGAGUGAUAGGGGCCUUAAAAAUUUGGAAAAUAACUGGAUUGGUCUGGACUGGGGGGCCUAAUAAGAUAUGCUUUUAUGGGGCCUAAAAUCUCUAGCAGCACCCUUGGGGUACUCCCCACGCCAGACACUGUACCAGGUGACUGUUUUGAAUGUUUCUUACAGAUAAUGGCCUAGCGAGCAUUACUUUGUCUUACCAAAUGGUUUGCUGCCUGCCAGUUUGCACACAAGCUUGCUACAGGGCUGCUGUCAACGUGCGUAAAUUCCAGUUGCUGCCAGUGGAGGCGCUGACGCUGCGGGCUGCGCUUGCGUAUGCCGUCUUUCACGACUCGGCGGACAUUAAAUAAAAUGUCUAAACUUAAUGAAGCACGCCCUCGUCUGGGAUGAGACGUUCUCAGCCGCUGAUUUUUUUUUUUUUCCAGUUGUACUCAACUUUUGUAACUCUAAAAAAAUGAGGUCCGGACCCCAGUGACCUCAUAGCCUGCUGCGCACAUGCCCACACCUCACUCCCAACACUGUAUACCCGAAACUCAAAUUGAAAAUAUUUUUUUGGAAUCCCCAAAAACAGUUGCCUGAGUCUAAUGCAAAGUUAUGUCAUCAAUCUGCUUAUUCUUUUUUCAAAAUUCCAUAUACACACCUGUAAAUUUACUAGACAAAAACCAAACUUCACAGCUUUUAAGACCUACUUCGUGUAUAACCUGUAUAUCAUAUAUAAAUACGUUGGUACCUUGUAAACAUUCAAAAGCCAUAAAAUCCUUGUCAGUCCUGACUGAGUUUGACCUGGUUGAAAGCUUCUUGUAAACUUUUUUUUUUCUUGUUGAUACUUGUCGUUUGUAGCAUUUCCUUGUACUUACUUAUAUUGUACCUGUAUUGUUACUCAUGUAUAUAUUUAAAUAAAAAAUACAAAAAAGAAAGUCACUCCCAACAAAAAUCGCAGCUUCUUCAGCUCUGCCACCGGCAGCUCGGCUUCCUGUCUGUCUCAGUGCCACCAUCAUCAAACCAUACAUCACAGCUGGUUUGACUUUCCCUUGCAGACACCCUUCUGUCACACAUCAUGGCGAGUGUUUCCCCUGUUAGUGGAUUAGCAGUGAAAUAAAAGAACACACAACAAUCUAGUGUUCGUAGGACCUCUUUCUGGCAAAUUCUUUUUCUUUCAACUUCCCGCCCCUACUGCGAUUCACCAAUCACCAGUCACUCGUUAGGAGGAGCCAAUGGACGAGGGGCAUGCGAGGCUGAAUGUCGAAUCACAGGAAUGUGGGCGGGGUCUAUAGCACCAUUCGGCUCUCGGGUUCCCGACUGGAUGUUUUCUUCACGAGACCAGCCAUCAACUUGGUCGGAAACUCGGACGAUAAUCGCAAGCAUGAGCGGAUCUUAUAACAACAAUCCGAAAGAGCUCAUCUUGUCUUUCCUGGCAGCAUUAUGCAGGAUCCUCUGUAUAUGCCGGCAGCCCCCCGACAGUGGAGAAUGUGACAAUGACGAGUUACUGCAUCUCCCGGUUCAGGAGACUGAUCCUGCGCCAAACAGCAGUUCUGUGAAGCCCUGGUUUGACCCUGGAAAUGGAUGCUGUUAAUUUCUCAUUCAGAAGCUGCUGCCUUCAUGGGGGCUGGUGUGUGUGGCUCAGUGGGUUAGAGCUCUGUGUCUGUGAUUGGAAGGUCGCUGCUCUGAAUCCUGGGCUCAGCAGGACAGUCACAUCACUGUAGGACCCUUCAGCAAAGGCUCUGCUCUUGUAUAUAUGUAUUUAUCUCAUUCUGCUCAACCUUUGAAUAAGCUUUUGCUGCACAUCCUAAUGUAUUUUUUAUCUUUUUAAUGAUUUCCCUAUGAUUUCUUGUCCAAGCCACACUGUCCCUUGUGCCUUAAACUGUCUGGGUCACACUACUGGCUGUCAGUGACCCUGUACUGGGGGGCAGGGGGGGGUGUAUGUAUUUAUUCAUACUAAAUGAUGAUGUAAUUUAUUGAUUGUGAAGGGACACUUGCCUUCAUACAGUAUCAAAGUGUAAAUGUAAAUUAAGUAAAGUGUACUUAUAUGGGCAUGGGGGGGGGGGGGUGCGCAUCAUGAUUUUACUCCCAGUUAUGCCAAAUUGUACUUUUGUGUAAGUUUUUACUUUGUUUAUAUAUGAAGUACUGGGAGAUGCACUUUGUCAACUGGUAUUUAACGAAGAUUUAUAAGGUUUAUAUUAAAUUUGUAAUUUUCCAGCUACAUCUUGUCUACCAUCUACAAUUUUUUUUUUUUUGGGGGGGGGGGCAGCAUAUUUGCUAGGUGACAACUGGAAACAAAAUAGGCAUGUCAUACUUUCUGCUUUUCGAGGUGAGCUGGCUUGUUCACAUCACAAAGAGGGACAUGUGCUGCAAUAUGUAAAUAGAGGUGGAGGAUUUUUGCGUUGCUGGUUUGAAAAAUUAAAGGGGUGUAGAUUUUC